GCAAGUCGAGCGGAAACGAAGAGGUGCUUGCACCUCUGGCGUCGAGCGGCGGACGGGUGAGUAAUGCUUGGGAAUAUGCCUUAUGGUGGGGGACAACAGUUGGAAACGACUGCUAAUACCGCAUGAUGUCUACGGACCAAAGUGGGGGACCUUCGGGCCUCACGCCAUAAGAUUAGCCCAAGUGGGAUUAGCUAGUUGGUGAGGUAAUGGCUCACCAAGGCGACGAUCCCUAGCUGGUUUGAGAGGAUGAUCAGCCACACUGGGACUGAGACACGGCCCAGACUCCUACGGGAGGCAGCAGUGGGGAAUAUUGCACAAUGGGCGCAAGCCUGAUGCAGCCAUGCCGCGUGUGUGAAGAAGGCCUUCGGGUUGUAAAGCACUUUCAGUAAGGAGGAAAGGUUAAGUGUUAAUAGCACUUAGCUGUGACGUUACUUACAGAAGAAGCACCGGCUAACUCCGUGCCAGCAGCCGCGGUAAUACGGAGGGUGCGAGCGUUAAUCGGAAUUACUGGGCGUAAAGCGUACGCAGGCGGUUUGUUAAGCGAGAUGUGAAAGC
rnacentral:rRNA from 1 species